GACGAACCGUGCGAACGUUAUUCGGAAUCACUGGGCUUAAAGGGUGCGUAGGCGGCGCGGUAAGUCGGGUGUGAAAUCUCGGAGCUUAACUCCGAAACUGCAUUCGAUACUGCCGUGCUUGAGGACUGGAGAGGAGACUGGAAUUUACGGUGUAGCGGUGAAAUGCGUAGAUAUCGUAAGGAAGACCAGUGGCGAAGGCGGGUCUCUGGACAGUUCCUGACGCUGAGGCACGAAGGUCAGGGGAGCAAACGGG
rnacentral:rRNA from 1 species